UGAGUUUGAUCAUGGCUCAGAGUGAACGCUGGCGGCAGGCCUAACACAUGCAAGUCGAGCGGCAGCGCGGGGGCAACCCUGGCGGCGAGCGGCGGACGGGUGAGGAAUGCAUCGGAAUCUACCUCGUUGUGGGGGAUAACCUCGGGAAACCGGGACUAAUACCGCAUACGACCUACGGGAAAGGUUGCCUCUUCAUGAAAGCAAUCGCUAUUGGAUGAGCUUAUGUCAGAUUAGCUAGUUGGUAAGGUAAGAGCUUACCAAGGCGACGAUCUGUAGCCGGCCUGAGAGGGUGGACGGCCACACUGGGACUGAGACACGGCCCAGACUCCUACGGGAGGCAGCAGUAGGGAAUAUUGGACAAUGGGCGCAAGCCUGAUCCAGCAAUGCCGCGUGUGUGAAGAAGGCCUGCGGGUUGUAAAGCACUUUCAGCAAGGAAGAAAUGCUUAGGGUUAAUAGCCUUGAGAGUUGACGUUACUUGCAGAAGAAGCACCGGCUAACUCUGUGCCAGCAGCCGCGGUAAUACAGAGGGUGCGAGCGUUAAUCGGAAUUACUGGGCGUAAAGCGUGCGUAGGCGGCUAUUUAAGUCUGAUGUGAAAUCCCCGUGCUUAACAUGGGAAUUGCAUCGGAUACUGGGUAGCUAGAGUAUGGUAGAGGAGAGUGGAAUUUCUAGUGUAGCGGUGAAAUGCGUAGAUAUUAGAAGGAACACCAGUGGCGAAGGCGACUCUCUGGACUAUUACUGACGCUGAGGCACGAAAGCGUGGGGAGCGAACAGGAUUAGAUACCCUGGUAGUCCACGCCGUAAACGAUGUUCACUCGCUGUUUGCAAUACACAGUAAGCGGCUUAGCGAAAGCAUUAAGUGAACCACCUGGGGAGUACGAUCGCAAGGUUGAAACUCAAAGGAAUUGACGGGGGCCCGCACAAGCGGUGGAACAUGUGGUUUAAUUCGAUGAUACGCGAGGAACCUUACCUGGGCUUAAAUGUAGAUUGCAUAACUUAGAAAUAGGUUUUCCCUUCGGGGCUAUUUACAAGGUGCUGCAUGGUUGUCGUCAGCUCGUGCCGUGAGGUGUCGGGUUAAGUCCCAUAACGAGCGCAACCCCUAUCGUUAGUUGCUAGCAGGUAAUGCUGAGGACUCUAGCGAGACUGCCACCGUAAGGUGAGAGGAAGGUGGGGAUGACGUCAAAUCAGCACGGCCCUUAUGUCCAGGGCUACACACGUGUUACAAUGGCCGGUACAAAGGGCAGCUACACAGCGAUGUGAUGCUAAUCUCUAAAGCCGGUCCCAGUUCGGAUUGGAGUCUGCAACCCGACUCCAUGAAGUUGGAAUCGCUAGUAAUCGGAUAUCAGCAACGAUCCGGUGAAUACGUUCCCGGGCCUUGUACACACCGCCCGUCAAACCAUGGAAGUUGGUUGCUCCAGAAGUAGGUAGUCUAACCGCAAGGGGGACGCUUACCACGGAGUGGUCAAUGACUGGGGUGAAGUCGUAAACAAGGCACC
rnacentral:rRNA from 1 species